CACAACUGUCUCGGGGCGGCCUCCCCGCCUGCAGGCUCCGCGCCGCCCACUUCCUGCGACCAAAUAAGGCUGGGAGGCGUCUUUAAACCUCGGGGCGGCUGCCGGGGCUGGGGAUUUCCAGCAGCCCUUACCUCCACUUGCAAAGCUGUGGCCACCCUCCUCCCAACCCCCCAGCCUAGAUCUGAGCCCCCAUGGCUCUUCUGUAAUCAACAGGCCACGCGGCUUGUUCCUUGCACAUCAAGGUCAGGAGGAGACGGUGACGAAAUGUUUGGAAACCCAUCCAGCCUGCCAGGAAAGUGUGUGUGCGCGCGCGCGCCCGCACGCGCGCGCCCGCCAUAAUGAAGAGGGCACAAGGCGCUUUCCUCCACAAAGAGAACUGUGACUUUGGAUGCAGUAAAACUGUGACUUUGGAUGCAGUAAAACAUGCAUAAUCCUCUCUGAGGCAUUUCAUUAACAGCCUUCCUGAGUUAGGAUUUCUAGCUACCAGCCCGCCCGGGUAGGUUAUAGAGAAACCAACCCUGUCUCUAUAAAGGGACUUACAGGACCAUUACUUAGGAGAUGAAACGCUCCCGGAUUGAAUUCUCACAACCUAGGCCAAAGUUGGACGACGUUCACUCAAGGUCUUCUUAAACCACCCUGACAUCAUUUUCAGACUCUAGCCCGUGAUGCCUCUUUCUGCAUUUUGGUGGAUGAUAGGAAACUAUAGAAUUCUUCCAGAGCUGAGGGAACGAAAGUCAGGUUUCUUCCUCCGUGUGACAGUUCGUCCAUGUGAGGAAAACAAAAGCAACCCGCUUGACCUCCACUGUCCACUGUGGCCAUUCCUUCAUUAAACCUGCCGUAGUAGAAGACCUUGCUGAAGGAAGGCUCAGCCUCUGCAGUUAACCAGGGCCAGCCCAGAGGGAGCCCCUAAAGAAAAUACAAACUGGCCCUGGGACAUCUCAAAAAAUUGACCUAGCUGAGGAGCACAUUCCUAGAGGAGUCUGCCACCAUAGAGCCAGAGCCCAGCCUCACGGUAACAAAUGGGAGCCAUUACUCUAAAGAGAACUGCUCAGCCUGGUCUCAGAGUGCUUCCCCGCUUCCAACACAGGCUGCUGGGCCAGUCCCAGAGCAGCAGAGAGGAGAGGCAGGGGGCAAGAUGUACAAGAAAGAGAAGUGAGUGAGCUGGGGGUGGGGUGGAGGGGUGGAGCCCACGGGGGCAGUGGUGGGGGGGAGAACACCCUGCCUACCAUGAGCAGCACACUCCUUCACUCAACAAAGUUUUUCUAAACUUGGGCCACCUCGAAAAGGAAAAGAGGAAGAAAGGAGAAUUCUGACCGUGGUAGAAGUCUCCCUCUCAACAAGCAAAUGAGGUGUUAUGAGAGAAGCUAUGGCCUUUCUGGGAAAGCCUUGGAGGUCAGUCCUGCUGCAGAUAUGACAGAGCAGAAUCACUGACUUGAGAAAGUUUUGGUUUUUGAAGCUCUCCAGUCCCUCCUACAAGCCUCUGGGACCACCAAGAAGGUGGCCUUUCAGAGCUGGGGUUGGGAUGAGCUGGGGGAGUUGGUAGGAUUACACAUGGAAUGCCAUUCUCCCCUACCACCCCACUUCUUCACAAACCACAGGGAAGAGAGGAAUGCAGGGCUUCGGUUCCUGGUGUAUCUGCUAAGAAACACUCUAGUUAGCAGAGCACUGAGGACUGGAAGCCAAGCUGAGUCCAUCUGAAGUGGAGCGGAGCCUCCUGGGAUGAUGGUGACUCUUAGACACCUCAGAAUGGAUAUCCCCUAUGUCCAGCCUGUUAAACACUUCAGGGAUUGGUGGGGAGAGGCUAGAGGGGUGGCUCAGCCGUUAAGAACACUAGUUGUUCUUGCAGAGGACCUGGCUUCGGUUCCCGGCAUCCACAUGGUGGCUCACAACUGUCCGUCCAGAGGAUCUGACACCCUCUUCUGACCUCCACAGGCAGCGGGCACAUAUCUGAUGCACAGACAACCAUGCAGGCAAAAACGUUCAUACAAUUAAAUAAUCUGUAAAACUCUCCCGAAGAUGAAUUGUGUAGUGCAUGAGAAAAUCACAUUAGAUUUUAUAAAGAAUGGCAAGAGGCUUCCCAGAAGCCCUGGGGCUACUGCCCAUCCCCCUCCACUGAGUUUCUGUCAUCACUGUUCACUACAGAAUAGAGUUCUAGGGCUGGGAUGUGGCUCCGUGCCUGAGGCAUGGCGUUGCUAGGGGAAGAAGAGAGGAAGAAAGGAAGAGCUUAAGAAGAAAGAAAUGGUAAUAGCAGACACUCCAAUCCCAGAACUCAAGAGGCUGAGGCAGGAAAAUCAAGAGUUUGGGGAUAUAUUGGGCUACAUACCAAUACUAUUUAUGAGAGAAAGAGAGAGAGAGAGAGUUGUUUUCUUCUCUCUAGUCCCCAUGUUGCAUGCCUGCUCUUUCUCUGUCCCUUCCCUUACUCACUGUAGUCAGCACACGUGGAAUGUUAACAUUUACUGGGCGAAGAGACACUACGGAGGGCUCCAUCCGCCCACAACGCCAGGUUCCUUAUGUCCCACUGUUAUUUCCCUUUGUGAAAUAAAGAUGCUACCUUUAGGACCUCCUUGCCUAGAGUUACAAGAGAAAAGAAAGUUGUGGAAAAGAUAGGAAACCAGGACUGAAUCUGGAUCCUGUCUGAAAUAAGUAAAUGUGUUGUGUAGCCUCGGGACAGUUGUCUAGCGCCCCUCGGUUGGUGCUUUGGUUUGGGUUUUUUUGUUUUGUUUUUUUGCCUAUAACAAAUUCACCAUAUUUGGUUUUAUGGGUUUAGAACUGUUAUUUCUCUGCAUUUAUUCCUCCCUUCUCCCUUUCAAGAACUUAAUUUCUCGAAAGAUCCUUACACACAACCCCCACCCAAAAAAAAGGCCCCAGGAUGAGCCUCUGUGAGACUCUACCAAAGGGAGUACUUCCAACAUCAAUUUGGUGUCUUAUCUAGGGGGUCCUUCCAAGGCUGCCCCCACUCCAUCCCUUUUGUAUCCUUCCCACCACGCUGGGAUCUUGAGCUGAUCAGGGACAACCCCUCUGAUGGCUGUGUUUCUUCCCAGGUCCUUCCUGACAGAGCAGAGAGCUUAAAGCCACCCAGUCACGAAGUUAAGCUGAGAAGCUCCUGCAUUUGAUCUCUUUUACCCCUGAGAACCAGGGAGACCCUUCCUCUUUGCUUCAGUUACUUCACCUGUUCUAGGGAAUGCCUGCCACACCAGCCCCCAGCUGUCUGCAUCCCUGGGUACUUUCCCUCCUGCCCCUCCCCCACAGGCCUAGCCAGGUUCCUAGUGCCUUUGUCAGCCCUCAAAGGGAGCUUCUAUAGAUGUCCCCAGUUGCUCCUGUCACUCUGGUAGAGAGACAUCUGGCUGGCUGCAGGGAGAAGAACAAAACAGGUGUGGCUGCCAGGGAGGGCUGACCAGCAGGGCCAAGGGACAGAGACACCCUUUCUUUAAGAGACAAGAACUGCCUGCUUUCCCCGUGAAUUGUGAAUUGCUUUAGCAUAGUCCCCAGGCCACUGUAGAACCAGCCCUGAACAGACUCUCCUGUUGGCCGCCGCCUGGAACUCAGCUUCCCCUACAUCAUCGCAGUGAGCCAGGAAGAAAGGAAUCCCCAAAGAUCCAAUGUGUGCAAUGGAGCAAGCUUUAAAAUAAAAACUAAUAUUGAUAA